CGAACCACGGCGGGAGAGUCCCCGCCCGUGCGGGGCGCCGUAGGAGCAACCCUCCCCGGGAAUCUCUCAGGCACCCGUACCGCCGUGGCGAG
rnacentral:ncRNA from 2 species